rnacentral:rRNA from 1 species
AACGAACGCUGGCGGCAUGCCUAACACAUGCAAGUCGAACGAGAUCUUCGGGUCUAGUGGCGCACGGGUGCGUAACGCGUAGGAAUCUGCCCUUUGGUUCGGAAUAACAGUUGGAAACGACUGCUAAUACCGGAUGAUGACGAAAGUCCAAAGAUUUAUCGCCAGAGGAUGAGCCCGCGUAGGAUUAGCUAGUUGGUGUGGUAAAGGCGCACCAAGGCGACGAUCCUUAGCUGGUCUGAGAGGAUGAUCAGCCACACUGGGACUGAGACACGGCCCAGACUCCUACGGGAGGCAGCAGUGGGGAAUAUUGGACAAUGGGCGAAAGCCUGAUCCAGCAAUGCCGCGUGAGUGAUGAUGGCCUUAGGGUUGUAAAGCUCUUUUACCCGGGAUGAUAAUGACAGUACCGGGAGAAUAAGCUCCGGCUAACUCCGUGCCAGCAGCCGCGGUAA